rnacentral:rRNA from 1 species
UACGAAGGGGGCUAGCGUUGCUCGGAAUCACUGGGCGUAAAGCGCACGUAGGUGGGUCGUUAAGUUGAGGGUGAAAUCCCAGGGCUCAACCCUGGAACUGCCUUCAAUACUGGCGACCCUCGAGUCCGGGAGAGGUGAGUGGAACUGCGAGUGUAGAGGUGAAAUUCGUAGAUAUUCGCAAGAACACCAGUGGCGAAGGCGGCUCACUGGCCCGGUACUGACGCUGAGGUGCGAAAGCGUGGGGAGCAAACAGG